rnacentral:lncRNA from 1 species
AUGACUGUCCUAAAGCUAGGGGAUGACAGAAGGGAAAGAAAUGUGAGGCAGUUCAGAAUGAGAAUGGAACCCCACGACUCUGCUUGGGAUUAUUACAACUGCAUUUUAUUCUUUUUCCUAAUGAAGAUUUUAGCCCUGGAUUGUGGUUCCUAUUUCAGUACUGCUGUGCAUUUGAUGCUAAAGACCAUCCUUCCCACACCCUUGCCCUGGACUUUUUCCAAGCUGUUUCAACUACAUUAGAUUCUUCUGAAAAGCUCUGGAAUGCACAGCAGCAUACAGAAGUGCAAAAGGCAUGAACUCUGAGAGCUGCAGUCAAAAGACCAGGGAUGGAAGUAUCAGUUUUUCACUGUGUAACUUUUGAGGAGCUGAAUAUACAAACACAUAAUGGCCACACCUUGUGUAAAAAUAGGAUUCUUACCCACAACCUCUGCAGCAACCAGCCUGUGAAGCCAAACCACAGCCUCUGCAAUAAUUAGCCCAGAAUGGUCAGGAUUCAGUUGUUGGCUGUCAGCUUUGUUGAUUUCUGCCCUCAGUUCCAACUCUGGACCAGAGUAAGCAAAUAUGUCCCCCCAACCAAUCACUUAGGGAGCCCCACCUCUAAUCAGCCUGCUUCCAGCUUCCUCAUGACAACUACCUCCAAUUAGAGCAUGACUAAAGCCUCUCCCUUUUUUUCUCACUACCUGCCCUUCUUAUGAGUCUCUCUACCAAAGGCAAGAAACAAUGACUGGCUCCUUGUCAUGGCAAGCUCUGAAUAAAUAGCCUUUGCUUGUUCUCAUUUGGUGGUCUUUGUUUUUUCCACACUUUGGACAACUCACUUAGCUUUAUUUUUCUUGUUUUUUUUUUUUUUUUUUUUUUAAGAUUUAUUUAUUUAUUUGAAAGACAGCAUAUGUGUGUGUGAGUCGGAGGAGGGGCAGAGGGAGAGGGAGCUGACUCCCUGCUGAGCGUGGAGUCCCAUGAUCCCCAGCCGAAAUCAAGAGUUGGAGACCCAACCAACUGAGCCACCCAGGCACCCCCUAUUUUUCUUAUUUUUAAACAGUAUAUCAGAUGAUCUCACAAGAUGGUAAGUAUUGAUUUCUAUUGAACAUUAAGAUCCUAUUUAUUUAUUUAUUUAUUUAUUUAUUUAUUUAUUUAUUUCUGAUAGACACAGAGAGAGAGAGAGAAUGAGGCAGAGACACGGAAGGAGGGAGAAGCAGGCUCCACGCCGGGAGCCCGAAGUGGGACUCGAUCCCGGGACCCCAGGAUCGCGCCCCAGGCCACAGGCAGGCGCCAAACCGCUGAGCCACCCAGGGAUCCCUAAGAUCCCAUUUAAAAGAAAAAACACUUUGAGGUGUGAUUGACAUACAGAAUGCUGUACGUAUUUAAUGUAUACAACUUGAUGAGCUUCUGGAUCCAUGAAAACCAUCACCACACUCAAUACCAUGAACACAUGCAUCGCCUCCAAAAGUUUCCAAAAGUUUGUCUUCUGUUAAGUUUUUUUUUGUGACAAGAACACAACGUAAGAUUUACCAUCUUAGCAAAUUUUUUAGUAUACAGUACCGUAUUGUUAACUAGAGGCAAAAAAGAAAGAGACCCUUUGAGUGUACUUCUCAGAGGACACAUGAGAGAGGAUGUUCCACGUGUACACACUUGUUUUAUCUCUAAUGGUAUGAAAAACGAGUAAGAAGCUUAUGCACUCACAUGGCCCUCCUCUCUUUUUAAGAAAACUCUAAGCCACACCCAUAAUAAGUAGAAAAAGAUCCCGAGAAAGCUAAAAUUAAAGUUUAUCUCAAACUUAAUAUGCUUUCUCAUAAAGAAGCAUAUACAUUUGAAUUCACUCUAAAAAAAAGAAGAUGCUUUGCAAAGCGUAAUAUGAAUGACAAACUUACCUCAACCAUAGGACUUGCCAGUUAGGGAGAGAAGCAGCUACGGGCAUACAGCUAUGGUCAAAGAUCACCUCCCUCCACAACAGCCUUCUUAGACCUGGUGAGAGGUCUUCCAUCCUUGGCCCUUCUCUGGCUGUGCCCCUCCCCACAGGAUGAUCUAAGGGGAUGUGCCCAGCAAAGAACCUCUGUACCUCAUUCUGGUCUUGCUUUCAAUGUUGGGAUCCCAGAAUUCCCUGCCCAAAUACCUUUUACCUGCUUAUAACACUCUUUCAAGGUCUGUCCCCUAAAAGUAGACCCCAUAGCUGGUUGUUCACCCCUUGGCCAAAGGGAAAACCAGCGGAUGGCUAUGUACAGGGGAUAUGGGUGGAGCUUGGACACCAG